GAUGAACGCUGGCGGCGUGCUUAACACAUGCAAGUCGAACGAUGAAGCCCAGCUUGCUGGGUGGAUUAGUGGCGAACGGGUGAGUAACACGUGAGUAACCUGCCCUUUACUCUGGGAUAAGCCCGGGAAACUGGGUCUAAUACCGGAUAGGAGCGCCUGUCGCAUGACGGGUGUUGGAAAGAUUUUUCGGUCAUGGAUGGACUCGCGGCCUAUCAGCUUGUUGGUGAGGUAAUGGCUCACCAAGGCGACGACGGGUAGCCGGCCUGAGAGGGUGACCGGCCACACUGGGACUGAGACACGGCCCAGACUCCUACGGGAGGCAGCAGUGGGGAAUAUUGCACAAUGGGCGGAAGCCUGAUGCAGCGACGCCGCGUGAGGGAGGACGGCCUUCGGGUUGGAAACCUCUUUCAGUAGGGAAGAAGCGAAAGUGACGGUACCUGCAGAAGAAGCACCGGCUAACUACGU
rnacentral:rRNA from 1 species